UACAGGACAGUGGCGGAUGGGUGAGUAACGCGUAAGAAACCUGCCUUUCACACCGGGAUAGCAGCUGGAAACGGCUAUUAAUACCGGAUGACACUUUUUCCCCGCAUGAGGAAGAGGUUAAAGAAUUUCGGUGAAAGAUGGUCUUGCGUCUGAUUAGCUAGUUGGUGGGGUAACGGCCUACCAAGGCGACGAUCAGUAGCCGGCCUGAGAGGGUGUACGGCCACAUUGGGACUGAGACACGGCCCAAACUCCUACGGGAGGCAGCAGUGGGGAAUUUUGCACAAUGGAGGAAACUCUGAUGCAGCGACGCCGCGUGAACGAAGAAGGUCUUCGGAUUGUAAAGUUCUGUCCUGGGUGAAGAUAAUGACGGUAACUCAGGAGGAAGCCCCGGCUAACUACGUGCCAGCAGCCGCGGUAAUACGUAGGGGGCGAGCGUUGUUCGGAAUUAUUGGGCGUAAAGGGUACGUAGGCGGUUUGUUAAGUUUGGCGUUAAAUCACGGGGCUCAACCCCGUUCAGCGUUGAAAACUGGCAAACUUGAGUAGUAGAGGGGACAGUGGAAUUCCUAGUGUAGCGGUGAAAUGCGUAGAGAUUAGGAAGAAUACCGGUGGCGAAGGCGACUGUCUGGAUACAUACUGCGCUCAGGUACGAAAGCGUGGGGAGCA
rnacentral:rRNA from 1 species